AGAUUGAACGCUGGCGGUAUGCUUAACACAUGCAAGUCGAACGGCAGCACAGGGUAGCUUGCUAUCCGGGGGGCGAGUGGCGGACGGGUGAGUAACGCGUAGGAAUCUACCUUUUCGUGGGGGAUAACCCGGGGAAACUCGGGCUAAUACCGCAUACGCCCUACGGGGGAAAGCGGGGGACCUUCGGGCCUCGCGCGGAACGAUGAGCCUGCGUCCUAUCAGGUAGUUGGUGAGGUAAUGGCUCACCAAGCCAACGACGGGUAGCUGGUCUGAGAGGACGACCAGCCACACUGGGACUGAGACACGGCCCAGACUCCUACGGGAGCAGCAGUGGGGAAUAUGGACAUGGGGGAAACCCUGAUCCAGCAAUACCGCGUGUGUGAAGAAGGCCUUCGGUUGUAAAGCACUUUAGCUAGGAAAGAAAGACUAUGCGCUAAUACCGCAUGGUUUUGACGUUUACUUGCAGAAAAGCGACCGACUAACGUCCGU
rnacentral:rRNA from 1 species